rnacentral:rRNA from 1 species
UUUCCGGUUGAUCCUGCCGGACCUGGCUGCUAUCGGAUUGAUACUAAGCCAUGCGAGUCAUUGUAGCAAUACAAGGCAUACGGCUCAGUAACGCGUAGUCAACCUAACCUAUGGACGGGAAUAACCUCGGGAAACUGAGAAUAAUGCCCGAUAGAACAUUAUACCUGGAAUGGUUUAUGUUCCAAAUGAUUUAUCGCCGUAGGAUGGGACUGCGGCCUAUCAGUUUGUUGGUGAGGUAAUGGCCCACCAAGACUAUUACAGGUACGGGCUCUGAGAGGAGUAGCCCGGAGAUGGGUACUGAGACACGGACCCAGGCCCUAUGGGGCGCAGCAGGCGAGAAAACUUUGCAAUGUGCGAAAGCACGACAAGGUUAAUCCGAGUGAUUUCUGCUAAAGAAAUCUUUUGUUAGUCCUAGAAACACUAACGAAUAAGGGGUGGGCAAGUUCUGGUGUCAGCCGCCGCGGUAAAACCAGCACCUCAAGUGGUCAGGAUGAUUAUUGGGCCUAAAGCAUCCGUAGCCGGCUCUGUAAGUUUUCGGUUAAAUCUGUACGCUUAACGUACAGGCCGCCGGGAAUACUGCAAAGCUAGGGAGUGGGAGAAGUAGACGGUACUCGGUAGGAAGUGGUAAAAUGCUUUGAUCUAUCGAUGACCACCUGUGGCGAAGGCGGUCUACUAGAACACGUCCGACGGUGAGGGAUGAAAGCUGGGGGAGCAAACCGGAUUAGAUACCCGGGUAGUCCCAGCUGUAAACUAUGCAAACUCAGUGAUGCAUUGGCUUGUGGCCAAUGCAGUGCUGCAGGGAAGCCGUUAAGUUUGCCGCCUGGGAAGUACGUACGCAAGUAUGAAACUUAAAGGAAUUGGCGGGGGAGCACCACAAGGGGUGAAGCCUGCGGUUCAAUUGGAGUCAACGCCGGG